rnacentral:rRNA from 1 species
AUUGAACGCUGGCGGCAGGCCUAACACAUGCAAGUCGAGCGGAGCGGCGGACGGGUGUGUAAUGCCUAGGAAUCUGCCUGGUAGUGGGGGAUAACGUCCGGAAACGGGCGCUAAUACCGCAUACUAUCACUUGCGCCUCGGUCGGAUUAGCUAGUUGGUGGGGUAAAGGCCUACCAAGGCGACGAUCCGUAACUGGUCUGAGAGGAUGAUCAGUCAGACUGGAACUUAGACAAGGUCCAGACUCCUACGGGAGGCAGCAGUGGGGAAUAUGGGACAAUGGGCGAAAGCCUGAUCCAGCCAUGCCGCGGGGGUGAAGAAGGUCUUCGGAUUGUAAAGCACUUUAAGUUGGGAGGCGUUACCAACAGAAUAAGCACCGGCUAACUUCGUGCCAGCAGACGCGGUAAUAC